CGUAACAAGGUUUCCGUAGGUGAACCUGCGGAAGGAUCAUUACCGAGUGCUGGGUCCUUCGGGGCC
rnacentral:rRNA from 1 species